GUGCCCGGCCCUGCGUGGGACGUGGAUAGAAACACGUUCUGUGCCGGCGGGGUCCUAACCGGUUAAGCCUGUGCCUUGCCUUCCUUUCCUGUGCUGCGCUCAGCUUCAGUUGCCUCCCAGCCUCCCCACCGCACACGGAGCUGUCUGGGUCUUGCGUGGGGUCAGCAGCCGUUCUGCGUGUGGGCCCCGCGCCAGCCGCAAGGUGCGCGCGCUCAGGCCCCAGCUGUGGAAACGCCACGCAGCUGAGACCUUGCGCUGCAUUGAUGGAUUAAGCCCAGCGCUAAGGGGCAAGACCAUUUCCUGCUCACCUAGUUGUGGAGCUGGCACGAGACCCUGAGAACGGUGACAGUUGGGAAACCAACUUUGCUAGUUGCGCGACAGCUCCUGCAGCUCCCUGGUGUGUGGCGUGUGGUGGCCCAGCUCCUGGCCUCCCACACAAAGAGCGUUCUGUUGUUGCUCCGUAUUUGUCCAGAGGAUUUGCCAUGGCUUCAUAUUUAAUUACCACCCUGGACCCGGAGGUGGGAGGCUGCUGGCUUUGGCUUGAUGAUUAACAUAAGGAAUUGAACGCGGUUUUCCUGAGCUCAGUGUGUGUUCGCUUAGGUGACCGAGCAGGUGGGACGGGGCGACUUGGCUUGGACCAUAAACUGCUGGGCACCUGCGCUGCCUGCAGUGGCUCCGGAGAUACCAGGCUGUCGGGAACAAGAGGCCAGUCAGGGUUUUAUUGUCCUGCCCUUCUCUUCUUCCUCGCCUUGGUUCCAGUUUGGCGAAUAAUGACCUGCCCAAGAGGCGAAAAAAUAUCUCUCACCCCAAACAGGAAGGAGAGCUGACUCCCGUAGCAAAAGUAAACUUGGAAGAGAAGCCGUUACACGACUUUCCUGAGACAGUGACUGAAAGGUGAACUUUGUAAAACCCUCCACCCCACAUUCCUAGAACCCCAUGUUCUGUGGCGUAGGCGGGACGCUGGGGAAAGGCCCUGGGCACCUAAACCUGACUCUCCGUGGCUCAGUCUUAUCCCCAGCCUGAGUUUUUAGAAAUUGGCUGCUAAUGAAAGAUACAAGUGCCGGCACUGCUCAGAGCACCGUGUCUCUUGCCGGGCGUUGUGGUGCACACCUGCAGUCUCGGCACUCGGGAGGCUGAGGCAGGAGGAUCUCGAGCUGCUUCCUCCUGAAAUGCAGUGUUGGUUCCUGAAUUUGGGCAAAAGAGACGCUUGGAGAAUGUGAUCUGGUUGGACUAGAGCUAGAAAGAUGUUUUGAAGUCCUAGAUUCUGCCAGACUUACACCCUCCUUCCGUCUCGGUGCCUGCAUCUGCAAAGCAGGGAUGAGGAAACCGCUGGGCCCGCUCACCUCCUGGUGCUGCCCUAUGGAGGAGCACACUGGGGGGGGGGAUCCAUUCAAUAAGUGCCUGCUAUAUUUUUACUGUUUAAUGAAAUAAAAAUGAACGUGCCUCUUCCACAGGCUCUGUCCAUUCUUCCUCCUUUGCUGGAGUUUAUAUUUCUUAGUUGGAUUUUUUGGUAUUAAAUCUGUAAUGCCGCAGCGUGUGGUGGCACACACCUGUGAUCCCAGCACUUGGGAAUCUGAGGCAGAAGGGUGGCUGAGAGUCCAAGGCCAGUGAGAGCCCCCAUCCCCCACCCCAUCCCUUCUGUAACAUUGGGAGAGACCAUUCCUCUGGGAGUCACCGGCAUAAAGUAGAAUCUGAGGAGAGAAUCAGGACCACACCUACCAUUUCUCGAGCACUUACAAUACAUGCCAGGCCUUCCUGGGACUUACUCCUGUUGAAGUUAGGACUCCUAUGAGCCGGUUCUCUUGGGGCUGUUCACUUCACUGAUGAGGAAGCUGAGCUUGGACACGAGGUCCCCGGCCUGGGGUAAUAGUGACACAGCUGGGGCCUCCCAUAGAGCUGACCUCUGACCUCAGCCACCUUGCGUGUGAGGUAUGAGACAGUCGGAGUCACCAGGUCGAGGGGUUCUUCCCACCCCUUCAGGAUGCUGGAAACAGCAACUGUGUGGUGUACACAAAAGGAAAGGA